UACGAAGGGGCUAGCGUUGCUCGGAAUCACUGGGCGUAAAGCGCGUGUAGGCUGCUUCGCAAGUCGGAUGUGAAAGCCCUGGGCUCAACCCAGGAAGUGCAUUCGAAACUGCAGAGCUGGAGUCCUGGAGAGGAAGGCGGAAUUCUCGGUGUAGAGGUGAAAUUCGUAGAUAUCGAGAGGAACACCGGUGGCGAAGGCGGCCUUCUGGACAGUGACUGACGCUGAGACGCGAAAGCGUGGGAGCAAACAGG
rnacentral:rRNA from 1 species